AUUGAACGCUGGCGGCAUGCCUUACACAUGCAAGUCGAACGGCAGCACGGGAGUAAUCCUGGUGGCGAGUGGCGAACGGGUGAGUAAAGCAUCGGAACGUGCCCAGUCGUGGGGGAUAACGUAGCGAAAGCUACGCUAAUACCGCAUACGAUCUGUGGAUGAAAGCGGGGGACCGUAAGGCCUCGCGCGAUUGGAGCGGCCGAUGUCAGAUUAGGUAGUUGGUGAGGUAAAGGCUCACCAAGCCGACGAUCUGUAGCUGGUCUGAGAGGACGACCAGCCACACUGGGACUGAGACACGGCCCAGACUCCUGCGGGAGGCAGCAGUGGGGAAUUUUGGACAAUGGGCGCAAGCCUGAUCCAGCAAUGCCGCGUGCAGGAUGAAGGCCUUCGGGUUGUAAACUGCUUUUGUACGGAGCGAAAAGGCUUCCACUAAUACUGGGGGCUCAUGACGGUACCGUAAGAAUAAGCACCGGCUAACCACGUG
rnacentral:rRNA from 1 species